rnacentral:rRNA from 1 species
CCCUUAGAUGUUCUGGGCUGCACGCGCGCUACACUGAAGCGUUCAACGAGUAUUCACCUUGCCCGGGAGGGUUGGGUAAUCUUUUGAAAACGCUUCGUGAUGGGGAUAGAUUAUUGCAAUUAUUAAUCUUCAACGAGGAAUACCUUGUAAGCGCGGGUCAUCAUCCCGCGCUGAAUACGUCCCUGCCCUUUGUACACACCGCCCGUCGCUCCUACCGAUUGAGUGGUCCGGUGAGGCUUUGGGAUCUGAGCGGAAAGAGCGUUUCGCUGUUUCUGCCCGGAAAACUCAGUCGAACCUUAUCAUUUAGAGGAAGGAGAAGUCGUAACA